GACGAACGCUGGCGGCGUGCCUAACACAUGCAAGUCGAACGGAAAGGCCCUGCUUUUGUGGGGUGCUCGAGUGGCGAACGGGUGAGUAACACGUGAGUAACCUGCCCUUGACUUUGGGAUAACUUCAGGAAACUGGGGCUAAUACCGGAUAGGAGCUCCUGCUGCAUGGUGGGGGUUGGAAAGUUUCGGCGGUUGGGGAUGGACUCGCGGCUUAUCAGCUAGUUGGUGGGGUAGUGGCUUACCAAGGCUUUGGCGGGUAGCCGGCCUGAGAGGGUGACCGGGCACAUGGGGACUAGGGGAGGGCGCAGAGGGGAAUGGUGGGCAGCGGGGGAAAGUUUUACACAGUGGGCGGAAGCGGGAGACGACGGCGCCGGGGGCGGAAUGCCGGCUUUCGGGGAAAAAACCGCUUCAGGUUGUGACGAAGCGGGUGUGACGGUACCGGAUAAAGAAGCACCGGCUAACUACGUG
rnacentral:rRNA from 1 species